rnacentral:tRNA from 1 species
GAAAUAUGUCGGCCAAGAGAAAGCUGCUAACUUUUUUCUUUAAUGGUUUAACUCCAUUUAUAUUUCU